UACGAGAGGUCCAAACGUUAUUCGGAAUUACUGGGCGUAAAGGGCUCGUAGGCGGCCAACUAAGUCAGACGUGAAAUCCCUCGGCUUAACCGGGGAACUGCAUCUGAUACUGGAUGGCUUGAGUUCGGGAGAGGGAUGCGGAAUUCCAGGUGUAGCGGUGAAAUGCGUAGAUAUCUGGAGGAACACCGGUGGCGAAGGCGGCAUCCUGGACCGAUACUGACGCUGAGGAGCGAAAGCCAGGGGAGCAAACGGG
rnacentral:rRNA from 1 species